AUUGAACGCUGCGGCAUGCCUUACACAUGCAAGUCGAACGGCAGGCACGGGAGCAAUCCUGGUGGCGAGUGGCGAACGGGUGAGUAAUAUAUCGGAACGUGCCCAGUCGUGGGGGAUAACGUAGCGAAAGCUACGCUAAUACCGCAUACGAUCUAUGGAUGAAAGCGGGGGAUCGCAAGACCUCGCGCGAUUGGAGCGGCCGAUAUCAGAUUAGGUAGUUGGUGAGGUAAAGGCUCACCAAGCCGACGAUCUGUAGCUGGUCUGAGAGGACGACCAGCCACACUGGGACUGAGACACGGCCCAGACUCCUAUGGGAGGCAGCAGUGGGGAAUUUUGGACAAUGGGCGCAAGCCUGAUCCAGCAAUGCCGCGUGCAGGAUGAAGGCCUUCGGGUUGUAAACUGCUUUUGUACGGAACGAAACGGUGAGCUCUAAUACAGUUUGCUAAUGACGGUACCGUAAGAAUAAGCACCGGCUAACUACGUG
rnacentral:rRNA from 1 species